AUUGAACGCUGGCGGCAUGCCUUACACAUGCAAGUCGAACGGCAGCACGGGUGCUUGCACCUGGUGGCGAGUGGCGAACGGGUGAGUAAUAUAUCGGAACGUACCCUAUUGUGGGGGAUAACGCAGCGAAAGCUGUGCUAAUACCGCAUAAUCCCUAAGGGGGAAAGCGGGGGACCGUAAGGCCUCGCGCAGUUAGAGCGGCCGAUACCUGAUUAGCUAGUUGGUGAGGUAAAGGCUCACCAAGGCAACGAUCAGUAGCUGGUCUGAGAGGACGAUCAGCCACACUGGGACUGAGACACGGCCCAGACUCCUACGGGAGGCAGCAGUGGGGAAUUUUGGACAAUGGGGGCAACCCUGAUCCAGCAAUGCCGCGUGAGUGAAGAAGGCCUUCGGGUUGUAAAGCUCUUUUGUCAGGGAAGAAACAGCAGCUCUAACACAGUAUGCGAAUGACGGUACCUGAAGAAUAAGCACCGGCUAACUACGUGCCAGCCGCCGCAGUAA
rnacentral:rRNA from 1 species